AUGCCAGAGAUGGCUUGGUGCUCGAAAGAGAACCGUAACACAGGUGCUGCAUGGCUGUCGUCAUCUCGUGUCGUGAGAUGUUGGGUUAAGUCCCGCAACGAGCGCAACCCUUGUCAUUAGUUGCUACAUUUGGUUGGGCACUCUAAUGAGACUGCCGGUGACAAACCGGAGGAAGGUGGGGAUGACGUCAAGUCCUCAUGGCCCUUAUAGGUAGGGCUACACACGUCAUACAAUGGAUGGUACAGAGGGUCGCCAACCCGCGAGGGGGAGCUAAUCCCAUAAAACCAUUCGUAGUCCGGAUCGCAGUCUGCAACUCGACUGCGUGAAGUCGGAAUCGCUAGUAAUCGCGGAUCAGAAUGUCGCGGUGAAUACGUUCCCGGGUCUUGUACACACCG
rnacentral:rRNA from 1 species